CCCGUUUGAUAUUGGGUUAUAGCCUGUAUAAGUUAAUUUAUUCCAGAUUUAUGCUGUGUUUGCUAUCCUAUUAGGCUUAUGCGAAUGGCCCAGGUUUAAUAAAGGGCCCGGUCUUAAUUUGCAAGAAUAACCCCGUCUAAUAAUACCUCCUCCCCCAUCCGAUAACUUUUAUCCUGCGAAUCUAGAUUACAUUUUUGCUACCCUUCUCGCGAAUUUCGAUGAGAAUUCUGCCCUAGCUUCUCACCGCCUCCAUCGUUUCCCAUACCAUUUGCGACUACAGUUUUGGGGGAGAAAAAUUUCAAAGGCAAUUGACGGACGCCCAUCGGAAAUCUGGACACAGCGGGACAGCAACAUCGGUGAAUCAACGUCGUCUUCCGGAACAGGCUCUUUAGAUACCUGCUAUUUCCGCCAUUGAAUUCACACUAUGCCGUGGAUGAUGCUUGUUCUAGUGUCACGCCGUCCGCCUAUUCAUGGAAGGCACUUAAAAACAAAUUUAGACGGCCAAACAAUCCUCCUGCAAAGAAGAACGACGGUGGAAGUUCUUGCGCCUCGUCUUCCCCAUUCAAGUAGAUCAUGCUCGCGCUAUUGCAUUUCUCAUUUAGUAAUUGGUUGUUCCUUCUCGUAUUGCAAGUUUCAAUAUCCUUGUUUUUAUUUCUUGGUGUAAUGGCUACGUUUAUUUCGUUUUUCACAUUAUCAAUUGGCUUCAACAAUUUCUAUUCAUGAAUUACGUAAACACAAACAAAAUUAAAUAUUUAUUAGUUUAGUUA